CGGAAAAGGAGCUGUCAAAGAAAUCUUAUGAAGCAAGCUGCCUACAGAAAUGUCCAUGUGUCAGGAAACUGAAGCUGGCUCAUGGUCAGCAGCCAGCAAGCUACAAAGGGCUUCCAACAGCCCAUGAAGCACUGAGUCCUGCCAAAAGCCACGUGCAUGAGCUUAGAAGAGCUUCAUCCUCCAGGCUAGGAAAGAGACAGUCGGUGUGCAGCAAGAGAAAAGAGAGGAGGAAACAUGUGGAAAGACCCAAAGAAUGAAGACACAAGAGCAUGCCUGAAUGCAAUGGGAAGUAGAUCAGUUGACCUUUGCUGAAUAACAAGGUGGACCUAAAACUGGGUGACUUGAAACAGCCCAUAAUCCUGUGGACCUAAAGGUUGCUGUAUGAAGUGGACAGGAUGAUGUUGUUCAUGAUCUGCCUACCUCAUAGGGUGGAAGCGAAAAAUCAAGUGAGAUUACA
rnacentral:lncRNA from 10 species